UAAAGUACCUUACCAAAAGCACCCCUUUAUACCUUAUUUCAUCUAUUUAACUAGAAUAAAUUAUCACUGAUGUUAAAUAAGUUACUGAUAACUAAAUGUGUGGAGAAAUCUACAAGCAUCAAGAACGUGGGAAACAAUUGUCUAAUCGCAAAUUCUGGACAGAACUACCAGAUUCCAAAUCGAAGCUUAGAAACCACAGUAUUACACAUCAUAGAAAAUUGAGAUUGAGAUAAACAUAGUUCGGAUCUACUUACUGAAGAAAUAGGGAUACAUAUUGAUUAAGACAUGAACGUGAUGAUGGCGGCAACAACGAAGAGAACUGUUGAAAAACCCUUGAAAACUCUGAAAGCAAACUGAAGCAAAACAAAAGGAAAAUUAGAAUCAGAAUCUAUUGAAGAAUGAGAAGACUAGAAUCGAAAGGAAAACCGAUUUAACCUUGAAAACUCUG
rnacentral:lncRNA from 1 species